AGAAGAAGAGAGAGGGGAGAAGGGAUCUCCAUUCAGUUCCCGAGAGAGAGAGAGAGAGAGAGAGAGAGAGAGCGCAAGAAUGGUGGCGAGAAUGAGAGCGAGGCUGUCAUGUGAGUAAAAGAUGAAACCUUUAGAUACGUUUUCUUGGCUCAUGAGAUUAGUUCCAGCAUAAGCACUACCGGACAGAGUGGCAGAUUCAUGUUGCUGGUGUGAGAAACUGUGGAACUCUUCCUCAAAAUGGAUGCUCUCCAUCUGCAUGUACUUUCCAAGCACGAAGUCAUUGCUUCUGGAACUUCAGUUCAGUUAGAAAAAACCUGGCCAAGAUCGUCUGGCUCCACACCAAAUGUCAAAGGUCAGUUGGGUUUUCUUUGUCUUAUUAGUUAUCAGAGACAAUUAUAAGGAAUUGUGGAGACAUUGUUCAUGUGCAUGUAGCUGGGAGAGAAGUUCUUCAUGAGAUGGUGAAAAUAGUGAAGAAGAAGCCCGAUAUCCAUGUCAAAGAGAAGAUACUGAUCUUGAUAGAUACUUGGCAAGAAGCUUUUGAAGGACCGAGGGCUAGAUAUCCUCAAUAACAUGCUGCCUACCAGGGGUUGCUGCGAGCAGGAGCAGUGUUCGCUCAGAGAGAGGAGGGUCCUGCGCUGGUUUUUAAACCUCCACAGACACAGCCUCUUUCAUCAUAUCCGCAAAAUAUCUGCAAUGCUGAUAUCCGGCCAGAGCCAUCUGAGUCUUCUGCUGAGUCUGAGUUUCCCACAUUGAGCUUGACAGAAAUACAGAAUGCACGGGGA